rnacentral:rRNA from 1 species
CACGUAGGGUGCAAGCGUUGUCCGGAUUCAUUGGGCGUAAAGGGCUAGUAGGCGGCUUAGCAAGUCGGGUGUGAAAACUCGGGGCUUAACCCCGGGCCUGCAGUGGGUACGGGCAGACUAGAGUGCGGUAGGGGAGACUGGAAUUCCUGGUGUAGCGGUGAAAUGCGUAGAGAUCAGGAAGAACACCGGUGGCGAAAGCGCUCUGCUGGACCUUAACUGACACUGAGGGACGAAAGCUAGGGGAGCGAAUGGG